GGAAUGCGAAGGCGAAUUGAGUUAUUGCACACGUGGACUUUACAGGGUAGACAUUCCACAACGGAACCCUGCAAAUGCACGCUAGAAUCUUGUUAGCUCGUGCUUGGCUCUGCCCACCUCCUUGCUUGUUCUGCCCACUAUGGCUCAUUUGUUUCCCUUUGAAACGACAGGCUGUGGUCUAUGUAUGUGUAGUUCUAAAAAUAUUUGUCUGCUUCUUCUUAUUUAAAUUAAAAGGUGCAUACACUGAAAGGUGCAUACACCACCACCUAGUGCGAGUCCGGUGUAAGAGUUAGUGACCCUACCAACUAACUCGACACUCAUUAAAACAUCACCACUAUUCCACUAAUGGCCCCAUCUGAUCCUAGACUAGGCCAGCAGGGUCCGUGUACCUUCUAGACAAUGGCUAUCAUACAUUAACCAGGAUGACGGAUAGUGAUUCACCAUUCGUUAUCCGUUUUCUUUUAUUUAAAGUUGAUCGAAAUUGACAAAGCUACCUUUUUUCGUUUUUCGCUUCAGAUAUCGGAAAACAAGCACUGUCAAGGUAGGCGGGAAAGGGGAGGGUGCGUUUUGAUUUUGUUCCUAGUGUAACGUUAGUUAACAUAAUCUAGCGUUACCGUUAGGGCAACUAGCUAACCACACAGUCUCAAGUGAGUGUCAUUUGUUUGUAGCCAAAUCACCACAACUGUUGUGGCUAGACAAGCUAGCUAACGUUAUUGCCUAGCUACAAAUUCACUGUUCUAUGAAGUUUGUGUUCUCAGUUGUGUUUGAUUUGACCGUCUAUUAUUGACCGUGUUGUGUGGUCUAUAUAUGGUCAGAGGGACCUGGUGGUGGAGGUGUUUGGCGUGGAGAGGACAGUGAAUUCAGUGGAGGACAUCCCAGCCACUUGACAGUGUUGGCACUGUUACUUCCUACCUGACGGUGAAGGAUGAUAAACCCGUGUUUGAGAAGAGGUGUCUGGUGUGGGAGGACAUGCAGAUUCCCUCAAAGUUCCUGAAGGAGGAGUUGAAGGGUAGUACCUGUGGCAACACCCAGGUCUAUCUGUCUUCAGAGGGAUCUAGGGUGCAGACAGCAGAUGGUGGUGGUGGAGAUGUUUGGGGUGGAGAGGACAGUGGAUUCAGUUGGAUGACAUCCCAGCCACUUGGCAGUGUUGGUGUAACAGUAUAACUUUAGACCGUCCCCUCGCCCAUACCUGGGCGUGAACCAGGGACCCUCUGCACACAUCAACAACAGUCACCCACGAAGCAUCGUUACCCAUCGCUCCACAAAAGCCACAGAGCAAGGGGAACCACGACUUCAAGGUCUCAGAGCAAGUGACGUCACCGAUUGAAAAGCUAUUUGGCAUUCACCGCUAACUAAGCUAGCCAUUUCACAUCCGUUACAUUGGGACUGCUACUUCCUACCUGAUGGGCACCUGGCCACCCGAGUGCAGGUGGGCUCUGUCAACAUGAGGCUCUUACUAGAGUAUUGAUAAAAUACGAAUGCUUUUAUGGAUGUUUUUUUAUUUUGUGAUGUUUUUACUGUCUGUUUGUAUGAGGUGCACUGAAACAAAUUCCUAAUCAACUCUGUUACGGAAAUCUCAA